rnacentral:rRNA from 1 species
AACGAACGCUGGCGGCAUGCCUAACACAUGCAAGUCGAACGAGACCUUCGGGUCUAGUGGCGCACGGGUGCGUAACGCGUGGGAACCUGCCCUUAGGUUCGGAAUAACUCCCCGAAAGGGGUGCUAAUACCGGAUAAUGUCUUCGGACCAAAGAUUUAUCGCCUUUGGAUGGGCCCGCGUUGGAUUAGCUAGUUGGUAGGGUAAAAGCCUACCAAGGCGACGAUCCAUAGCUGGUCGGAGAGGAUGAUCAGCCACACUGGGACUGAGACACGGCCCAGACUCCUACGGGAGGCAGCAGUGGGGAAUAGUGGACAAUGGGCGAAAGCCUGAUCCAGCAAUGCCGCGUGAGUGAUGAAGGCCUUAGGGUUGUAAAGCUCUUUUACCCGGGAUGAUAAUGACAGUACCGGGAGAAUAAGCGCCGGCUAACUCCGUG